GACGAACGCUGGCGGCGUGCUUAACACAUGCAAGUCGAACGGAAAGGCCCUGCUUUUGUGGGGUGCUCGAGUGGCGAACGGGUGAGUAACACGUGAGUAACCUGCCCUUGACUUUGGGAUAACUUCAGGAAACUGGGGCUAAUACCGGAUAGGAGCUCCUGCUGCAUGGUGGGGGUUGGAAAGUUUCGGCGGUUGGGGAUGGACUCGCGGCUUAUCAGCUUGUUGGUUGGGUAGUGGCUUACCAAGGCUUUGACGGGUAGCCGGCCUGAGAGGGUGACCGGCCACAUGGGGACUGAGAUACGGCCCAGACUCCUACGGGAGGCAGCAGUGGGGAAUAUUGCACAAUGGGCGGAAGCCUGAUGCAGCAACGCCGCGUGCGGGAUGACGGCCUUCGGGUUGUAAACCGCUUUCGCCUGUGACGAAGCGUGAGUGACGGUAAUGGGUAAAGAAGCACCGGCUAACUACGUG
rnacentral:rRNA from 1 species